AGUGCAUCGGAAACUGGGAGACUUGAGUGCAGAAGAGGACAGUGGAACCUCCAUGUGUAGCGGUGGAAUGCGUAGAUAUAUGGAAGAACACCAGUGGCGAAGGCGGCUGUCUAGUCUGUAACUGACGCUGAGGCUCGAAAGCAUGGGUAGCGAACAGGAUUAGAUACCCUGGUAGUCCAUGCCGUAAACGAUGAGUGCUAAGUGUUGGAGGGUUUCCGCCCUUCAGUGCUGCAGCUAACGCAUUAAGCACUCCGCCUGGGGAGUACGACCGCAAGGUUGAAACUCAAAGGAAUUGACGGGGGCCCGCACAAGCGGUGGAGCAUGUGGUUUAAUUCGAAGCUACGCGAAGAACCUUACCAGGUCUUGACAUCUUCUGCCAAUCUUAGAGAUAAGACGUUCCCUUCGGGGACAGAAUGACAGGUGGUGCAUGGUUGUCGUCAGCUCGUGUCGUGAGAUGUUGGGUUAAGUCCCGCAACGAGCGCAACCCUUAUUAUCAGUUGCCAGCAUUCAGUUGGGCACUCUGGUGAGACUGCCGGUGACAAACCGGAGGAAGGUGGGGAUGACGUCAAAUCAUCAUGCCCCUUAUGACCUGGGCUACACACGUGCUACAAUGGACGGUACAACGAGUCGCAAAGUCGUGAGGCUAAGCUAAUCUCUUAAAGCCGUUCUCAGUUCGGAUUGUAGGCUGCAACUCGCCUACAUGAAGUUGGAAUCGCUAGUAAUCGCGGAUCAGCAUGCCGCGGUGAAUACGUUCCCGGGCCUUGUACACACCGCCCGUCACACCAUGAGAGUUUGUAACACCCAAAGCCGGUGAGAUAACCUUCGGGAGUCAGCCGUCUAAGGUGGGACAGAUGAUUAGGGUGAAGUCGUAACAAGGUAGCCGUAGGAGAACCUGCGGCUGGAUCACCUCCUUUCUGAAUC
rnacentral:rRNA from 1 species